rnacentral:rRNA from 1 species
AUUGAACGCUGGCGGCAGGCCUAACACAUGCCAGUCGAGCGGAUGAAGGGAGCUUGCUCCUGGAUUCAGCGGCGGACGGGUGAGUAAUGCCUAGGAAUCUGCCUGGUAGUGGGGGAUAACGUCCGGAAACGGGCGCUAAUACCGCAUACGUCCUGAGGGAGAAAGUGGGGGAUCUUCGGACCUCACGCUAUCAGAUGAGCCUAGGUCGGAUUAGCUAGUUGGUGGGGUAAAGGCCUACCAAGGCGACGAUCCGUAACUGGUCUGAGAGGAUGAUCAGUCACACUGGAACUGAGACACGGUCCAGACUCCUACGGGAGGCAGCAGUGGGGAGUAUUGGACAAUGGGCGAAAGCCUGAUCCAGCCAUGCCGCGUGUGUGAAGAAGGUCUUCGGAUUGUAAAGCACUUUAAGUUGGGAGGAAGGGCAGUAAGUUAAUACCUUGCUGUUUUGACGUUACCAACAGAAUAAGCACCGGCUAACUUCGUG